CUCUACCCUGGGGUUAGGUAGCUCCUCCUCUCUACCCUGGGGUUAGGUAGUUCCUCCUCUCUACCCUAGGGUUAGGUAGCUCCUCCUCUCUACCCUGGGGUUAGGUAGCUCCUCCUCUCUACCCUAGGGUUAGGUAGCUCCACCUCUCUACCCUGGGGUUAGGUAGUUCCUCCUCUCUACCCUGGGGUUAGGUAGUUCCUCCUCUCUACCCUGGGGUUAGGUAGUUCCUCCUCUCUACCCUAGGGUUAGGUAGUUCCUCCUCUCUACCCUGGGGUUAGGUAGUUCCUCCUCUCUACCCUAGGGUUAGGUAGUUCCUCCUCUCUACCCUAGGGUUAGGUAGUUCCUCCUCUCUACCCUAGGGUUAGGUAGUUCCUCCUCUCUACCCUGGGGUUAGGUAGUUCCUCCUCUCUACCCUAGGGUUAGGUAGCUCCACCUCUCUACCCUGGGGUUAGGUAGUUCCUCCUCUCUACCCUGGGGUUAGGUAGCUCCUCCUCUCUACCCUGGGGUUAGGUAGCUCCUCCUCUCUACCCUGGGGUUAGGUAGCUCCUCCUCUCUACCCUAGGGUUAGGUAGCUCCUCCUCUCUACCCUGGGGUUAGGUAGCUCCUCCUCUCUACCCUGGGGUUAGGUAGCUCCUCCUCUCUACCCUGGGGUUAGGUAGCUCCUCCUCUCUACCCUGGGGUUAGGUAGCUCCUCCUCUCUACCCUAGGGUUAGGUAGCUCCUCCUCUCUACCCUGGGGUUAGGUAGUUCCUCCUCUCUACCCUGGGGUUAGGUAGUUCCUCCUCUCUACCCUGGGGUUAGGUAGUUCCUCCUCUCUACCCUGGGGUUAGGUAGUUCCUCCUCUCUACCCUGGGGUUUGGUAGCUCCUCCUCUCUACCCUAGGGUUAGGUAGCUCCUCCUCUCUACCCUGGGGUUAGGUAGCUCCUCCUCUCUACCCUAGGGUUAGGUAGCUCCACCUCUCUACCCUGGGGUUAGGUAGCUCCUCCUCUCUACCCUAGGGUUAGGUAGCUCCUCCUCUCUACCCUAGGGUUAGGUAGCUCCUCCUCUCUACCCUAGGGUUAGGUAGCUCCUCCUCUCUACCCUAGGGUUAGGUAGCUGUAGCUCCUCCUUUCUACCCUAGGGUUAGGUAGCUCCUCCUCUCUACCCUAGGGUUAGUUAGCUCCUCCUCUCUACCCUAGGGUUAGGUAGCUGUCUAGCUCCUCCUCUCUACCCUAGGGUUAGUUAGCUGUCUAGCUUCUCCUCUCUACCCUAGGGUUAUUUAGCUGUCUAGCUCCUCCUCUCUACCCUAGGGUUAUUUAGCUGUCUAGCUCCUCCUCUCUACCCUAGGGUUAGUUAGCUGUCUAGCUCCUCCUCUCUACCCUAGGGUUAGGUAGCUGUCUAGCUCCUCCUCUCUACCCUAGGGUUAGUUAGCUGUCUAGCUCCUCCUCUCUACCCUAGGGUUAGGUAGCUGUCUAGCUCCUCC
rnacentral:lncRNA from 1 species